UCAGAAGAGGAAGUAUAUAGAAAUGGAGAC
rnacentral:piRNA from 1 species